AUUGAACGCUGGCGGCAGGCCUAACACAUGCAAGUCGAACGGUAACAGGAAGAAGCUUGCUUCUUUGCUGACGAGUGGCGGACGGGUGAGUCAUGUCUGGGAAACUGCCUGAUGGAGGGGGAUAACUACUGGAAACGGUAGCUAAUACCGCAUAACGUCGCAAGACCAAAAAGGGGGACCUUCGGGCCUCUUGCCAUCGGAUGUGCCCAGAUGGGAUUAGCUAGUAGGUGGGGUAACGGCUCACCUAGGCGACGAUCCCUAGCUGGUCUGAGAGGAUGACCAGCCACACUGGAACUGAGACACGGUCCAGACUCCUACGGGAGGCAGCAGUGGGGAAUAUUGCACAAUGGGCGCAAGCCUGAUGCAGCCAUGCCGCGUGUAUGAAGAAGGCCUUCGGGUUGUAAAGUACUUUCAGCGGGGAGGAAGGGAGUAAAGUUAAUACCUUGGCUCAUUGACGUUACCCGCAGAAGAAGCACCGGCUAACUCCGUG
rnacentral:rRNA from 1 species